CCUACGGGGGGCUGCAGUAAGGAAUAUUGGACAAUGGGCGCAAGCCUGAUCCAGCCAUGCCGCGUGAAGGAUUAAGGUCCUAUGGAUUGUAAACUUCUUUUGCAGGGGAAAAAACCCUCGUUCGUGAACGAGGCUGAUGGUACUCUGCGAAUAAGCAUCGGCUAACUCCGUGCCAGCAGCCGCGGUAAUACGGAGGAUGCGAGCGUUAUCCGGAUUUACUGGGUUUAAAGGGUGCGUAGGCGGUCUUGUAAGUCAGUGGUGAAAGCUCUCGGCUCAACCGGGAAACUGCCAUUGAUACUGCUUGACUUGAGUACAGUUGAGGUGGGCGGAAUAUGUCAUGUAGUGGUGAAAUACUUAGAGAUGACAUAGAACACCGAUUGCGAAGGCAGCUCGCUAAACUGUAACUGACGCUGAGGCACGAAAGCGUGGGGAGCAAACAGGCUUAGAUACCCCGGUAGUC
rnacentral:rRNA from 1 species